UUUUUCUUUGGCUUUAAUGAAUUUUUCAUUAUUAUCUUUGGUUAAUAAAUCCUUUAACUGUUUAGUGUACUGAGCCUUUAGUUUAGGAUCAGUAAUUUUACUAAUUAGAUCAAUCAACAAAGAACUUUCUUCAUCAUCUUUGUUAAUUACAUUAACUCUUUUUGUGCAACACUGCUCGUUGCAAUUGUCUGCGCAAAUAGUGAC
rnacentral:lncRNA from 1 species